UCCAGAUAAAGUUUGGAAUCAUUUUGUCAUUUUGCCUAAAAGCAAAACAAACCCAGUGGCCUUCUGAUGUGCCGGCCGUGCUGUCAGCACAGGAUAGUCCUGUGGUUCGUCGUCUUCCCUUCAUCCCAGGUGUUUGGGAAGCACCUACCGCCAACCCAUGAAUGACUGUGGAGACGCGAGAGGGACGAGACGAUCGCUGCCCUGCUCUUCUGGACCUGAGCACCCUCCGCGAUGCCUGGCCUGGGCUCCUGCAAUAACACUGGUCCGCAGAAGGAAAGAACCCCGGCCUGGGAAUCUGCGCGGGACCGCCCGUGAUUGUCUCUGCCCUCGGCGCCCGGCCGCGGCCCCUCUGGAUUGGCUCAGCCCAGCCUGGGUUCAGCGCUUUCAGAGAGGGAGCCAGUGGAGAGGGUGCGGGCCGAGGUCCCCGAAGACCUGCCCCCGGAGCCGGGCACGGGGAACGGUCAAGUGGCACUUGGCGCCGAGGAAGCCCCGCGAACUUGGGGCAGCUCAGACCGCCCAAGUCUCCCAGUCCUGGUGAGAAACGAGCAGAAACGAGCAAAAUAAAUUACUUUUGCC